AACGAACUCUGGCGGCAGGCUUAACACAUGCAAGUCGAACGCCCCGCAAGGGGCGUGGCAGACGGGUGAGUAACGCGUGGGAAUCUACCUAGUUCUACGGCACAACAGUUGGAAACGACUGCUAAUACCGGAUACGUCCUAUGGGGGAAAGAUUUAUCGGAAUUAGAUGAGCCCGCGUAAGAUUAGGUAGUUGGUGAGGUAAUGGCUCACCAAGGCGACGAUGUUUAGCUGGUCUGAGAGGAUGAUCGGCCACGCUGGGACUGAGACAGGGCCCAGACUCCUACGGGAGGGAGCAGUGGGGAAUAUUGGACAAUGGGGGCAAGCCUGAUCCAGCCAUGCCGCGUGAGUGAUGAAGGCCUUAGGGUUGUAAAGCUCCUUCAGUAGGGAAGAUAAUGACGGUACCUACAGAAGAAGCCCCGGCUAACUUCGUGCCAGCCGCCGCAGUAAUAC
rnacentral:rRNA from 1 species